CCCAAGGCUCUAUUUCUUACAAGAGGAACUGAUGUUCGAAGGGAAAUAAGUUUAGACCUAUGAGGCUUUUAUACUAAAAUAUUGUUGAGGGGCGGAUUGGGGGUUGAGGAAGAACACUUAAGACACCAGGCGAGGAGUUCCUGCCCUGACUCAAUGGGUUAAGAGUCUGUGCAGUGGCUUGGGUCACUUCGGAGGUGCGGGUUUGAUACCAGGCGUAGUGUGGUGGGUUGAAGCAUCCAGCGCUGCGGCAGCUGCUAGUAGGCAGCUCAGAUGCAGUCCCUGGCCCAGGAACUUCCACACGCUCCAGGUGUAGCCAUUAAAAAAAAAAAGUCACCAGACAAAACGUGGUAACUUUGCAGAGGAAAUGGCCCAUUUCUUUCUUUCUUCCUUCUUUUUCUUUUCUUUCUUUCUUUCUUUUUUUUCAACGUUAGAGUUUUUAAUCUUGGCGAUCAUGUGGGACACUGCACCCCAACUUAUUUUAUGAUGAGGAAGGUAUGGCCCACACAGGACACGCAGUCCGACAGCAGUGAGUAGAGGCCCUUGUGCUCAUCUUCUGUGAAGCAGCAGAGAAAACAAUGACUAGUAAAAUUCUUGGAUCUGCAUCCAAGUUUAGGAAAGUUACUUAGCCUCUCCGUGCUUGUUUCCUAAGUUGUAAAAUGGUUUAAUAACAGUAUCUACCUCAUGCAGUUGUGAGAUUAAACUAGGUAACUCUAAAGCUUCUGCUUGGCGCCAUGUCUGGCAUAGUUAGCGCUCAGUAAAUGGUAUUCCUCUUCUCAUCCUCUGGACCUCAUUCUUAGCUGAAAAUAGUGGAUCAAUGAUUUUUAUUUAUUUAUUUGGCUUUUUAGGGCCACACCCAUGGCAUAUGGAAAUUCUCAGGCUAGGGGUUAAAUCAGAGCUAUAGCUGCCGGCCUACCCCAUAGCCACAUGGCUGUGACCUCGUCUGCGACCUAUACCACAGCUCACGGCAAUGCCUGACCCACUGAAAGAGGUCAGGGGUUGAAACCUCAUCCUCAUGGAUACUAGUUGGAUUCAUUUCCGCUGUGCCACAGUGGGAACUCCCAGACCAGUGUUUCUUAACUGGAGCACUUGUCCUCCCUCCCUAGAGGAGUGCAUGAGAAUCACACGAGUAGAUGUUUGUUUGUUUGUUUUCAAGUAACAUGUAUUUAGUAGACUUACACUCUACUCUCUAAUGCAGUGGUUUUUAAGUAUUUCAUUCCAUGGGAAUGACCAGAAAUGGUUUGUCUAAAUGCAGCUUCCUGGGUUCCAGUGAGUGACUCAGUAGGUCUGGAUUAGCCCCAGGAGUCCAAGUUUUAACAUGAUCCUGAUGCAAAAGGUCCAUGGAAUCUGUGUGUGGGAGGUAGGGGGAUAACCCCCUAAGAGUUCCCAUUAUUCCUGGAGGGCUCUAUGGGAGAUAACCUAUCUCACUUGCUGGGAACCACAGGACCACAUGGUCUGUUUCCUUCUAGGUCAGACAUUUGGUUCUCUGGGGAAGUCUCACCUCCUUACUUCAGCUCUACCAGAUACUGCUCUGGUCUUCAACUUCACCCUUUGAACUUUAAACCCUGCCUUAAAUUUCAUCCCCCCAGUGUCUUUCCCUCCCCCCAUUACUUUCUUCAGUAAUCCCAAAUAGCAGCAACUGUGGUAGGCAAGUCACCGUCAUUUUCACCUCUUGGGGCCUUGCUCAAGGGGGAGGCCCAUGAUUCCCAUGAGGGCAUGUGAGCCCUUAGCUGCAAAUCCGCUCAGUGCAUUCUAUUCUGAACUGCUUAUUUCCAGAGAAGCCAGGAAUCUGAAUUUUUGUCUGAAAUUCCUAAAAUUUUAAAUAUGAUAAACCCAAUUUUUUGUAAAACUCUAUGGACGAAAUCCAACAGUCCAAUUCAGUCCGUAGUCCAUUUCAGAGUCUUCUCCUUUUGCCAAGGAAGCGAUUCCUUUAAGACAUUAAGACUAGGAGUUCCUGCUGUGGCUCAGCAGAAACGAAUGUGACUAGGAUCCAUGAGGACGUGAGUUGGAUCCCUGGCCUUGCUCAGUGGAUUAAGGAUCUGGUGAGCUGUGAGUUGUGGUGUAGAUUGCAGAUGCGGUUCAGAUCCCAUGUUGCUGUGGCUGUGGUGGAGGCUGGCGGCCAUAACUCUGAUUCAACCCCCAACCUGGGAACUUCUAUAUGCCACAGGUAUGGCCCUAGAAAGACAAAAAAUAAAAUAAACUAAAAAAUAAAACGAAAAUAAGGCAGAAGCAGACCAUAGCAAGGGAGAACUUCCUCCCCACCCUCACUUUCUGCUGUAAAGAUCUCAAACUCAGUAAACUGGGUCUGUCUGGGCAAGUAACUCUAGCUUUUUUUCCCCUUCUUGGACAGCAGCCGUCCAUAGGGAAGAAUUCAGAAUUUCAAGUGAUUUAAGGCUACUAGUCUGGUUGUCCCAGGAUGGGCUAGAGCAUUUGUACUAUAUCCCCUAAUACAAUUUCCUGCUCAAUUACUAAAUUCUUUGGGGGCAGCCAUGCUUGAAGGCCAGAUAGGGCCUGUUGCGAUCUUCCAGAAAAGGAACAAGCUGGUGAGUCUGCAGAGGUAGUGUUGAAAUCAGAGAAGAGGGCAGGCUGGGGAUAGAGGCAUUGGAAGUAGAGGACAUGGCUAAAAAAAUGAGCAAAAUUCAGAGUGUCUAGGAACAACUAACAGCACAUUCAGACCAGAUGGGCUGCUCAGACCUUGGCUGCGAUCACUACUGAGUAGCAUCAAUCUCAGAAACUCUGCAAAUAGGGUCAAGUUUGGGGAAAAGGUCACUUCUCUGCUGCCUUUGGCUUCCAUCCAGUGUCUAGCACCAUCCUACCUUUCAAGCUCGUAGGUCAGCGGGGCUAAGACAGUAAUGGAGGGGAAGCAGAGAACACACAAAGCCAGGGUUGGACAGGCCAGCAUACACCGCUAAGGGAUCAGGAUGGAGGAAGCCUAAACUUUGGGCCCAGGCAGAGCCUUGGCAGGUGAUCUCUUCCCCAAACUUCUAAGAUGUAAAUUCUUCCCGGCUUCAGCCACCAAUGCCUCCUUUCCUCCAUCUUGGGACUUAAGACUUCCACCCAAACCAUCUAAGUGUCUGUGUGCACACAUGCAUGAGCUUGUCCUGGGGAUUCAUAACUGGAAACAUCUUCCUGCUUGUUGCUGCCCUGGAGGCCGUGUGGAUGGUUAGGAAUCCAAACUAAAUAAAAUGGAUUUUCCUAUGUAUCAGGAAAAAGAUACUCAAAAUCCAAACCAUACUUUAUUGUGUGGCAGUUACAGUGCUGCCACUCUUUGCUUUUCCUGUGUCACCCUCUACUCAUCCAGGGCCACACUGACAUUUUUCAUGUUUGAAUAUAAGAUGCCAAGAUCAAAGUCCAUUAAAGUGUCUUGAGUACAGAGCUGGGCUUAUAUAAUUUGAUGUUUGUCUCUUAAUUGGUGAUGGUGGGGACCAGUAAUAGCAGUGGAGGCCCCAGAUAGGGGAAAGGAAGGGAGGGCAGGGAUUAUAGAGACUGAACCAAGGUCAUGAGUCCCCACUAGGGGUUGGAGUAGAGGUGAAGAAGGGAUGCAGAGGCAAAGGCAUUUGUUGAUUUUUCACCCUGCAAACUGGUCCAAGAGCUUGAGAUAGGCCUAGCACUGGGGUGUGGUGGCUGGAAAGAAGUGGCCACCAGAGUUGUUAAGGGUGAUUAGUGCCAGCAAUUCAGCUACACUAUUGUAUACUCUCCUGAGAGGGGAUGACACAGUCGGUGUCCCAAAAAACCUGUAGUGAGGUCAGUGACAAGGGGCCCUGCAGGAGUGCUUCCUGGAGACAAAGGCUUGGGGGACAGAAUCCAGAUACCAAGAUGAAAGGGCAAAGGGAAGCAGGGACCACAGUCUUGGCCAAGGGCACACACAAGGGCUGCCAGCAUGACCCCCUGGCUGAAAUCAAAGAUCCCAUUCAAAAAGUCCCAGUGUGUUCAGUGCCUGUGCCACCGUUCCAAGGGCUUCCUUCAGACCUCUGCACACCCACACGGUGGGCUGUUUCAGUGCCAAGAAAACAUCUGCCUCAUGUUUGGAAAACCAUCAGCCUUGAAGCUGCUCCUCCAGAGGGCAGGACUCUGGGACCCAGGACAGUCUUGGCACGUGAGCAGUGCCACCUCCUCUGCAGCUGAAAGCAUUGCAGGCUGCAGUUGGAGAGGGGCUUGGACCCCUCCUAUACCUCUUCCAGAGCUGUCCUUGCCUGCAGCCUGGAGCAGCCGGUUCCACCUUUGUUUCACUGUCCAUGGCCCCAAGGAGCUGCCAGCAUAGAAGUUCAUGGGGGCAUGAAAUGUCCCCCAGGGCCACCGCCACCUCAUAGGAGGUGAGCAGCAGCUGUACUCUAAUCAAUGGAGAGGUGUAGACAUGUAACUUGCAUCCACACAUCCCAUCAGGAAGAAGGCUGAGGAAGGUCUCAGAGAGCAGCAGCCUCACAAAGGGAAAUCCCAAGGUGUGGAGCUGAGAUUCCAGGUGCUCCAGAAUUUCGAGAAUGUCCUGGCCUCCCAAAGUGCCUAGGAUAAGGCCUAGGAUUUAGCUGAGCAGGCAGAGGCUAUGACUUCUUGGGGGUUGGUCUGCAUGCACUGGUGGUCAUAGUGCUCUCUGGACAGAACUCCACUCUCUGGGUCACGUUGGUAAGCA
rnacentral:lncRNA from 1 species